AGAGGAGCAUAGAUAAUGCUUCUGGCUGGCCCAAGGAAGCUGUAGUAACAUGGACAGCUCAGUUGCUGGCAGGGACUGGGAGAGCAAGAUUUAGGGCUCCUGGCUGGCUGCUGGGACUUGGUUGCUGUAUGCCCUGAGCUCUGUCCAGCCCUUACCAAAGAGGACUGAUGGAAAAGAACCUUGCAGCACCCCAUAUAAGAGAGCAUUAAAGCCUGGUGAACAAUUGCCCAACAUCAGACUCUGGAGCCUCUCCAAGGAACCACUCAAGCAUGAUUUCAUCCUUUCCAACAGGAUCUGUAAGGCUAGCUACACCUCUGUCUGAGAGCACCUCUUCAGCUGUUAGGCUGCAUGCCUUUACCUAUCUGGAGAUGGGAUUUCACAGUUCUUUCACUUCUAGACCAGGACCUGGACUAUGUAACCUAUGUGGCAACCAUGAUUAUCCUACAGGUCUGAAAUGAAUUGGUCAGGAGGUGUAUGAGCUGGAAGGGAAAGGGCCAUUCUGAGAAGACAGGAUGAAAAGACAAUGAGAAUGAGAACAAGAAGAUGAACCUGAGGAAGAAGCUGAAUUCCAAAACAUAUUGCCCAGGCAGUAUUGCCUUGUGGAUUACCAUAUCCCGGUUGACAUAUGAAUGUAGAAGUGAUAUACUCUAUGGGUUGUCCAAAUUUUCAUUUGGCUCUGAUUGGAGUUCAUAAAAGAUAUGUGUGCCUUGUUUUCAGAAACAAAAGCUGCAUCUGUGCAUGGAAAUAGUUAUUUGUGUAUAUCACAUACCACACAAACAGGUAUGACUGCAAAUUUGGAGUGUACACCAAAUGGAGGUCCACUGAAAAGCUGGACCUACAUGCCCAGUGAGUAUGGAAGUGUGUUGCAGAUGUGAAACAAAUAUAUGUUAAUAAACAGCAGUUGUAGCCCAGGAUCUGAGCAUAGCUCAAAGAAUUUGAAUCAACUUCUGAGCUGAUCCAAUUUAAUCUAUGUGGCUUGUGUUCAACAACCUAGUUCUUUCUAUUGUGGAGUGUGUCUGUCUUAUGAGAUAAUGAUAGUCUAUCUAAUCAUCUCACCUUGUCACCACCCCCUAGAGAUUCAUAGACACUGCUGGGUUGAAACAUAGUGACUAUUAACACAUUCUUGGAGAGAUGCCUAGGCCACUUAAAGAGCUCGUGGAGGCUUUGGUGGAAAAAAAAAAUCCUUCUGUUAACCUCUUCACUGCUGAAUAUAUGUACAAUCCUCUCUGUAAGGAAGUUUGUGAUUUUGUGCUGAGAUAUCCUAUAACUAUUUUCUCUUUAAGAGAUCAAAGGAAAAUUUAUAUUAUGGAGGUGAUAGUUCUGACUGCAUAGCUAAGGAUAUAUUGAAAAAUGAAGUCAAAGAAGAGAACUAUCUAACUGGGUUUGUAUAAAGAACAACAUAUAUCCUUCCCAAAUACACAGCACUUAAUACAAGGGCUAGAUUUAUUUUUUUCUGAAAAUGACAAGUCAUUCCGUUGAAUAGGUUAACGGUGAGAUGCAUAUAAAAUGAUCUUGAUUUUUUUCACCGGCUUUACAUUUCUUUGCGUCCUUCCAAUUUAAUAUUGUUAAAAGUUGGAAACAUCAGACUUAACACACUGAUCAACAUUAAUUGUGCGCCAGAACCUGGCCAUUUUUCCUGCCCUUUUGCACCAUUCUGGCCCUCAGGAUUUGGCCCUAAUAAGUUAACCACUUCAAUCCCCAUAUAGAUAUAUAAGAAAGAGCAUGAACCUUAAGAAAAAAAGAAGGGAAAAGGUAAAAAGAAUGAUAAUGUGUGUAAUUUGGAUAGAAUCCUUUAUUGCUUAGUUAAUUUUCAUUUAUCCUAAACUUCUAUAUAUUUGAGAAGAGUAUAAUUCUGGCCAUAAUUUCCUGAAAUGAUACCAGCUUUCUAAUUCAAGGAAAACAGUCCUAUAAGGUUUGAGGCAAAGGACUCCAUCAUCUUUGAAGUCAAAGUGCUACGUACACACUUCAUCAGCAGAAAUGCACUUCUAGUUAACCUUUCUCAUGUUUUGUAUUUCACUAAAAUCCUGUAAUAACAUAACAUAUAUUCAUGUAAUUAGUUAUCACAGUUGUUGACUUUGUGGGUGAAAUCCUAACCUCACUGAAAUCAAUGGCAAAACUCCAGUCGACUUGGGGCGGGGAGAGGGGCAGGAUUUCACUGUUUGUUUAUUAUGGACUCGACCUUACUCCCAGUGAAU